rnacentral:lncRNA from 1 species
GAGACGGAAGCGAUCUUCAGAUGCAAACGCAGCUAACAGGAGGAGAAUGGAGAAACUGUCAUGCAUAGCCAGAUGUCUGCCUGCGUGAAGCACCGUGCAUAGCUCGAACGUAGGGUGUAGAGUAAUACUCUGCAGCCCUGUUUAGUGUAGAGUAACCUGCUGCACGCCACGGGAUACGCUUGGAUACUGUCUGUACCCCAAGCGCUGACCCCGGGCUGCUCCCUCGGCCGCAACACGACAGCAACAGCGCAGACAGUAAGGAGCGCCGCGCUCAGGUCACCUCAGCCCUCCUCCCCCGCCUUCACUCCUCCGCCUGCUCCCACCAGCCAGCCAUACGCGUGGGAACCGCCUCGUCCCCAGGAGCUCUGCCCACCCCCUUAGGGAAGAACUUGCUUUCCUCAAAAAAUGUAAUGUCUCGCGAAGUUACCUGAGAGCGCUCGAAAUAGAGAGUAGGAACGCAUGGAACCUUCCCCCGGUGGAUGUCUCCGACCUCACCCCAACCUCAGCAUCCUCCUCCUCCUCCCCCUCAACCUCGCCAGCCUCCUUACCCUCCCCUCCCUCCUCGCCUGAAGAUACAGCAUGAACCUCGGUCCCCACUAUACUUUUCGAGACUUGGCCAUGUUCACCUUCGCCUUUGUCCCCGUCAGAGGACAAAUCAAGCGAACUGCUCCUGGAAGAUCCCUCUUCUGCAAAAACCAGGCCAUCCUUCGUAUAGAUUCGUUUCUUUGACCUCUUCCCUUCAGACUCUCUGCUGCUCACAGACACUCUGAUUGCGAAGCAGGACUACCCCCACCACCAGAGGCAGCCUGAAGGGCCAACUCCUUCGAAGACAUUGUCUACAACUCUGCCUGGUGCUAGCUGCCACGAAAACGAAGUCGACACCCCACCAAGAAAACGAAGCCAAUAGAGCACAACGAAGCUGAGCAGCGAAGGCACAAGUGGCGAAAAAUGCAACUCGAAAGCGACAGCAUAAAAUAUGGCCCGCCCCCCCCGGUAAACCUUAUAUAGGCACGGUAAAAACCGCCUCGAACCACUAACCGCCACGUAGAAAAUGACCUUACUACCCCAUAUAACGGUAGAACGCCUCGGCCCGCGCCGCCGUUCAGGGUGACGUUUUGACGGCAUUUUUGGACUUUUCGCGGGAUCGGUCGACGGCGCCUCUGACCUCACCCACGAAGGGGCUACUGUUGGGGACCGUCCCACAACGCACCCUGAACGAGGCUGGUGGGAAUCCUUCCUCUUAACCGGCUCUAACCUCGUCACUCUCCCUCUUUACGAAGCUAACAAUUAACCGAAGUCAACUAGUGCGAAGAUAUCUAUUCUGUGAUUUUGCAGGCAAGGAAUCGCGAAGUAAAAGCCCUCACAAAGC